UACAGAGGGUGCAAGCGUUAAUCGGAAUUACUGGGCGUAAAGCGUGUGUAGGCGGUCCACUAAGUCGGGUGUGAAAGCCCUGGGCUCAACCCAGGAAGUGCACUCGAAACUGGCGGGCUAGAGUAUCGGAGAGGUUGGUGGAAGUUCUCGGUGUAGAGGUGAAAUUCGUAGAUAUCGAGAGGAACACCGGUGGCGAAGGCGGCCAACUGGACGAAUACUGACGCUGAGACACGAAAGCGUGGGGAGCAAACAGGA
rnacentral:rRNA from 1 species